AAACCUGUCAGUUGCCAAUGGACACUAUAUCCCACAAUGCAUUGCACAAAGCAAAUGGUGGAUCCACUAACAGCUGGAAAACAUUAAGCUAUUUGUGGAUGGUGGUGAAACAGCUCCAGGAACUCCUCAUAAACAAAAAAACAAACUGAACAUUAUAACCUUCACGAAGAGAGGAUUUCUGCAGAUGGUUUGUUGUGAUCUGUGAUCCUGUGAUUAUCAUUAGUGACAGGAAGUCAGCAGGAGUUGGAGUGGAACUGCCGUGCAAGGUCAGGAAAACAUUUGCAUGUAUUUGCUGUUGCAGCUGGAGAGAGGACACAGGUGUAAGCCGGACUCACCUGCUGGGACGAAGCCUACAGCACCAACUCUGAAGCAGACAUGAACCAGAAGGAGGAGCUGCUGCUGAGACAGAUGUUGCAGGAAAAGAGACAUCAUCAUCAUCAUCAUCAAGCCCACUAAAGCAACUCUUCACUCUGGACGGGGUCACGGGUCAUCUUGCUGGGGCGUCCUCAUUGCCGAACCUCCACGUAGUUGGCUGGGAAAAGGCCGUAGGCGCCACCGCACACGCCUCGCCACCAGCCUUCGUCGAUCAUCUCGAUGUUGGUGAUGAUGUCAUCGGGGUCAAAGGAUAUCUCAUCUUCACCAGCUGAAACGGUAUCCGUGGACCGGGGUUACACCUGGAUCCCUGCUUGACACCCACUGCUACUAUCAUUAUCACAGUUUUUAUUAUUAUUAGUAGUCAUAUCUCUAUUAAUAUAUAUUACAGCUAUUAUUACUGAUAUUUCUUUUAUCACUCUUUAUGUAGUGUUUUAUAAUUUUAUGGUUUUUAUUUUUAAUA